CUUGGGAGCGGCGUGACCCAUGACCGCAUCGGAAGGGUUGCGUGGGUCGCCGGCAGAGUGGCGCCGGAAGGAUGGUGGGGUCCAGUGGACGGGAUGCUGGCUCGCGAACCAGAAGGAAAAGAUCAGCCUUUGAGGAAGAAAGCUAAACAGGCUUCUUGGGUAGCCACUAACGGUUUUGGACUGCAACCCCAUCAAUGUACUGCCAGUGGCCACGGAUGAUGGGAGUUGUAGUCCAAAAGCAUCCGGAUUGCACCAGAUUGGGGAAAGCUGGCCCAGCCUUUCAGUGUGUCUACGGCAGAGCUGGAAGCUCUUGCUCCCCAUCUACAGAAACAGCUGCAACUGUAAGGCAAGUCCUUCGGUGAUUACAUCUCGGAUCUCCAUUUGAAGCUAAUCUAGAGUGGUGAGAGAAUCAGGCGCUCCUCAAUGGCGCCCGAGGACAACCCUCCCGCCACACCCGUAGUUUCUUCCUGCUAUCAGUUGUCAUUGCUGAGUUCACCAGAAGCAGAGGAAGUAGCAGUCCUUCCAUUGUUUCCAUGAUCUGCUGAACUUUGCAGCUAAGAACCAGCCUAAAUUGGUUUUUUCCUCCCACUCCUUUUUGUGUUCUGUUUUUAGAUUGUACACGUACAGAGGGAUUGUCCUAAGACAGAACUUUGUAAAUCACCUGUAGAACAGCCUUUUUGCAUAAAGGGUGAGCUAAAAAUAAAGGAAUAAUAAAAAAAGGAAAAAUGGGAAGACUGCCUGCAAAUGGAGCACAAGACAUUCUUGGCUUUGGCUAUGCCUUUUCCUAUAUACUACCAGUUAGCUACAUUUCAGUACUGGCAUAUAUACUCAAGACUUAGGCCUCCCCUGACUGUGCUAUUGAGAUCAUUCUGAAUUACACUCCAGGAUUGCUGUAGGCUGCUCUGGCCCACUUCCCUUGGCUAGAGAGACUCCAUUAGAUAGCUUAUUCCUCCUAUUCUAGCAUUUUCUUUAUUGCAUAUAUUUUAUAUAAUCUUUUUUCCCUGCAAGGAACCUGAGACAGCUACAAUCUACCUUAUCUCCAUUUUAUUCUCACACCAUGUGAAGUAGGAUAGGCUGAGAGUCAGCAACUGACCCAGUGAACUUUGUGUCCAGUUUUUGAGUCCGUCAACCAUACACCACACUGGCUUUCAACCUUCUCCAUCUAAUGCCUUCCAGAUGAUUAUUUCAGUGUCUAAAAAUUCAAAAGCUGAUUUUGCCAUCAGAAAAACCAAGUCUGAAAGGAUAUGAGUUUCUGCCUAAGCUUCUGAGAAAAUGUUUUGGGGAGCAGGAGUACUGUACAGCCUGCAAUGCUCCACUGCUGAAGUCCUGGAUUUCCACGCUUUUUUGUAUGAAUGGCUAUCAACUAUUGCAGGGAAUUUAUAGCAUCAAACGUAAACAGGAAGUCUGCAGGCAAAGCAAUUGCCAGUCUGUCUACAACUGGAGUGAGCAAAUUGUGGCCCAGCAAAUGUUGUGAGUAUAACUCCCAUCAGCCUGAGCCCACACAGCUAAUAGCGAGGGGAACUGCAGUCUCCACCACCCCGUAAUGCCCCAAGCUGACUACCCUGCUGUAUAGACUCUUGCCUGCUAGCGCAUCCCUUUUCUCCCUCCAUGCUUCAAAGUCAGUGACCCCAACAUUGAGAAUCACUGGAUGAGACCCAGAGCAGGGCAUCAGAACCAAGCAGAGAAGUGCAGGUAUGUGCAAAUGUAGUGGGACCAUAUCCAGAGUUUGUUCUGUGCGAGUGUCAGCUAAUCCGAUUCUCCAAAAGUUAAUGCCAGUAUCUACAUGAUACAGUGGAAAGCCCAGAAUUCUCUGCAAUGCGCUACAGUUAAAUAUGGAUUGAUGCACAUUUCAGCACUCUGCUCCAGUUAAAGGAUUUGAAAACUAAUCCUUUUUUACUGGAAUUCAAGAUUGGGACCCAUGGGGUUAAUGCACAUGGUUGGUGUGGUACAAGUCUCAAAGUCAAUUGUCAGCAUCUUCAAAUAGGGCUCAGAGACUCUCUCUAAAAUGCUAAAGAUCUGCUACUAGACCAGAGCCGUCAAUCUUUCAGCCCAAGAACUGAACUCCAUUUCACUAGACUUGCAGGGGCAUUUCAAUGGCAAGCAAAAUCAAAGGCAAACAAGCUGGAGCCAAAAUUACCACAGUAUUUUAGCUUAAAGCUCUUCCUGCCAAAAACAGCCUUAGGAGAGGCAUUUCAACCUGCCAGAGAAAAAUCUGUACAAGGUCUGGAAACCACCAAAUGAUUGGAGAAAGAGGUACAUGGUCACCAGAAGCCUCCUGAAGAGCCGGAUUUGGUUCAUUGCCCCUGCUAGAGACAAUAUGGUGCUAGAAGGAUCAACUGCCUGACUACAGGAUAAGGCAGCUUCCUAUGGAACUUAAAUGGAUGCAAUGUGAGCAGGCCUACAGGGGACAUAACCCCCACUCCCAAAAUAUGGACUCAUGGCUUGGAAGAGCUUCUCCGUAAGACCAACUCCCCCUCUUUCACAAGCUUUUCCUGGAAUCAACACCUCAGGAGAUUUAGGGAUCUAUAGAGCCCAGGUGGUCCUGCUGCUUCUCUUUCUUUUGAUUCGUGUUCAGGUGGGCUUUAGUGCAGAGGCCACACAGUGCAACACUGCUGUCACACACUGGUCGCUGCGCAGAAGACACAAUUCCGAAUAUGAAUGUUUUAUUUAAGUUGAUCCAAAAUCUAAUUCCCACAAUACCACUAAAAGCUUUAGUGAAGUGCAUGGCAGGUGCCUCCCCCUCGUGUCUCACCUGUUGGGGGGGGGGGAAUCCAGUUCUGAUGAGGCAAAUGACGAAACUGUGAGAAACUUUGCAUUAGGAAAACAGAAGCUACAUGUUAAAACUACACAUAUUUUAAUGAUUUAUAAACUGCUUUCACAGUACUUUUAGAAACAUCUGUCUUAAAGAACUACCAAAAAGGUCAAAAAUAAUUAUUUUCAUUAAAAAGAUAUUACCAAAAAAGUCAAGGUGCUUAUACUAAGAAGUUCUAUACAAAUCCAGAACUCUUCUUUAAAACUAACAACCUUAUAAAUAUAUAAAUGUAUUCCAGUCAAAAGAUGAAGAAGAGAUGGAAGAAAGUUUUGCUUCCAAAUACUGCAUAUGGAUUACAAUAUAUGGGCAAUAAAACUCCUUAGAAGUUGCA